GCAGGCGUAGCCAAGCGGUAAGGCAAGAGGCUGCAACCCUCUGAUCCUGGGUUCAAUUCCCAGCGUCUGCU
rnacentral:tRNA from 1 species